UCAAUGGCUCCCCGAUGCCACGAGAAGAUAAUAUUAAGAAAAUUAUACGAGUUUAAGUUCUUGAGCCAUUUGACCUCUGAAAUGGAAUUAUUCAGCAAAGUAAGGAUUGACAUAAAUAAUCCCAAAUAUUUCUGGGAGCCAUGAGUCAACCCUUUUUUGUCUUCGUCAAUGACUUCAAUGGGACCCACACCACGUUGCGGUCGGCCCCUCACCAUUCUCCACGCGGUGCACGCCGUGGAGGAUGGGAUGUAUCCGGGUUUUUGGAAUCUGGCUGCCGGUGAUUCGUUCUUUUUCGACACUUCUGUUU
rnacentral:lncRNA from 1 species